CCUACGGGAGGCAGCAGUGAGGAAUAUUGGUCAAUGGACGAGAGUCUGAACCAGCCAAGUAGCGUGAAGGAUGACUGCCCUAUGGGUUGUAAACUUCUUUUAUAUGGGAAUAAAAUGUUCCACGUGUGGGAUUUUGUAUGUACCAUAUGAAUAAGGAUCGGCUAACUCCGUGCCCGCUGCCGCGGUAAUACGGAGGAUCCGAGCGUUAUCCGGAUUUAUUGGGUUUAAAGGGAGCGUAGGUGGGUUGUUAAGUCAGUUGUGAAAGUUUGCGGCUCAACCGGAAAAUUGCAGUUGAAACUGGCAGUCUGGAGUACAGUAGAGGUAGGCGGAAUUCGUGGUGUAGCGGUGAAAUGCUUAGAUAUCACGAAGAACUCCGAUUGCGAAGGCAGUUCACUGGACUGCAACUGACGCUGAGGCUCGAAAGUGUGGGUAUCAAACAGGAUUAGAUACCCGGGUAGUC
rnacentral:rRNA from 1 species